UCUGCAAUCUUAUUCCAAUUUUUCUUUAUAAAGUUCCUAAUGUCUCAGGGAGCAGAAGUGUUGCUUGAUCAGUCCACUUCAUUGUUAUCAAUUUGUUUUUGUUUUUGAAAUACAUCAACACAGCCGGGACAUUAACACAGCCGGAACACUAACACAACCUUUAUUAUGUUCCUGUGUAUGCGCUUCAUUAUCUUCCAACUGCUACUUUAAUAAUGCAUUGAGUUAUCAUCAACGUCGUCAUUGCGUAUGUCUUCAUGGCUUAUGGCUUCGUCUUCAGAAAAUGCCUCUGUCACAUUACACGACUUCCAUAGGAUGCCAAAUGUUUGUAUUGAUCUUCCACUGUUGCUCACAUGUUAUUCAUAUUGUUGCUCACAUGUUUUUCAUAUUGUUGCUCAAAUGUUGUUUACG
rnacentral:lncRNA from 1 species